UAAUACGUAGGGUGCAAGCGUUAAUCGGAAUGACUGGGCGUAAAGGGUGCGCAGGCGGUUUGCUAAGAUAGAGGUGAAAUCCCCUGGCUCAACCAGGGAAUGGCCUAUAUGACUGGCAGGCUCGAGUAUGGCAGAGGGAGGUGGAAUUCCACGUGUAGCAGUGAAAUGCGUAGAGAUGUGGAGGAACACCGAUGGCGAAGGCAGCCUCCUGGGCCAAUACUGACGCUCAGGCACGAAAGCGUGGGGAGCAAACAGGAUUAGAUACCCUGGUAGUCCACGCCCUAAACGAUGUCAACUAGUUGUUGGGGAUAGCUAUCCUUAGUAACGAAGCUAACGCGUGAAGUUGACCGCCUGGGGAGUACGGUCGCAAGAUUA
rnacentral:rRNA from 1 species